rnacentral:rRNA from 1 species
GUUGAACGCUGGCGGCGGGCCUAACACAUGCAAGUCGAACGAGUGGCGGACGGGUGAGUAAUGUAUGGGAAACUGCCUGAUGGAGGGGGAUAACAACUGGAAACGGUGGCUAAUACCGCAUACCAUCAGAUGUGCCCAGAUGGGCUUAGCUAGUGGGUGGGGUAGCGGCUCACCAAGGCGACGAUCCCUAGCUGGUCUGAGCGGAUGACCGGCCACACUGGAACUGAGACACGGUCCAGACUCCUCUGGGAGGAAGCAGUGGGGAAUAUUGCACAAGGGGCGCAAGCCUGAUGCAGCAAUGCCGCUUGUAUGAAGAAGGCUUUCGGGUUGUAAAGUACUUUCAGCGAGGAGGCGUUACCCACAGAAGAAGCGCCGGCUAACUCCGUGCCAGCAGCCGCGGUAAUUC